GACAGAGGGUGCAAACGUUGCUCGGAAUUACUGGGCGUAAAGGGCGUGUAGGCGGGAAGGAAAGUCAGAUGUGAAAUCCCUGGGCUCAACCCAGGAACUGCAUUUGAAACUCCCUUUCUUGAGUGUCGGAGAGGAAAGCGGAAUUCCUGGUGUAGAGGUGAAAUUCGUAGAUAUCAGGAGGAACACCGGUGGCGAAGGCGGCUUUCUGGACGACAACUGACGCUGAGACGCGAAAGCGUGGGGAGCAAACAGG
rnacentral:rRNA from 1 species